rnacentral:tRNA from 1 species
GGAGGCAGCCCGGGCCUGGUGGCCCGCCCGGACUUCAAAUCCGGUGGCCCGUCGUGAGGACGGCGGGCGGUGGGUUCAAUUCCCUCCUGCCUCCGCC